UGCCUGCCCUGUGACUAACUGUUUAACGGCCGCGGUAUUUUGACCGUGCGAAGGUAGCGCAAUCACUUGUCUUUUAAAUGAAGACCUGUAUGAAUGGCAACACGAGGGCUUAACUGUCUCCUCUCCCAAGUCAAUGAAAUUGAUCUCCCCGUGCAGAAGCGGGGAUCUAACCAUAAGACGAGAAGACCCUAUGGAGCUUUAGACAUACGAUAGACUACGUUUAAAACCUCCCCAUAAGGAACCAAACGGGUUGGAGACUAUCUGAAUGUCUUUGGUUGGGGCGACCACGGGGYAAUAAAAAACCCCCACGUGGAUUGGGAUUACUAAUUCUACAACCAAGAGCUCCCGCUCUAAGUACCAGAAACAUCUGGCCAGAUAGAUCCGGCAUUGCCGAUCAACGAACCGAGUUACCCUAGGGAUAACAGCGCAAUCCUCUUCUAGAGCCCAUAUCGACAAGGGGGUUUACGACCUCGAUGUUGGAUCAGGACAUCCUAAUGGUGCAGCCGCUAUUAAGGG
rnacentral:rRNA from 1 species